CGCACAUUGCGCCCGCCAGUAUUCUGGCGGGCAUGCCUGUUCGAGCGUCAUUUCAACCCUCAAGCCCCCGGGCUUGGUGUUGGGGCUCGGCCCGUCCCUCGCGGCGCGCCGUCCCCGAAAUCUAGUGGCGGUCUCGCUGCAGCCUCCCCUGCGUAGUAGCUAACACCUCGCAACGGGAACUGAGCGCGGCCACGCCGUUAAACCCCAACUUCUGAAGGUUGACCUCGGAUCAGGUAGGAAUACCCGCUGAACUUAA
rnacentral:misc_RNA from 1 species